rnacentral:sRNA from 12 species
GGCCUUGCCUCUUGGCAAAAAACAUAACGUCAGAAAGGAGCUGGUAGGAACGCCCGUUGUAUGGGCUACCGAACGCCCCGAAUAAGAAAAGCAAAGCA